AUGGGCACCCCUUUUCAGGUGCGUGGAGAUGUAGCUAGGUCCCUGAUGUACAUGGCUGUAAGCUAUGGGUCUGGACAGCAAGAUGCAGCUCCACAUUUGGAACUUUCUGAUUCGUCUAGUAUUCAAAGGAGGAGGAUGGGUCUCCUUUCAGCUCUUCUAGAAUGGAAUGAACUAGAUCCACCAUCGAGAUCAGAGCAACGUCGGAAUGAUAGAGUUUGUAGCCUUUACCAGCACAACAGAAAUCCUUUUGUCGAUCAUCCAGAGUAUGCUAAUCUUGUAUGGAGAAACACACCUAGCAAAAUUCCAAGUGUGAUGGAAACAAUAGUGAAAGGCUUGGGUCAAUGA
rnacentral:rRNA from 1 species